GCGUUCCUGCUUGGUUUGUGUACGGCUUCCAAUAAUUGAUCCAACAGUCAAUGUCAUGGGGUCCGGCUCGUAAUCGCGCCGGUGAGCAAGCUCCGGCGGAAAGCCGCCAUGGAGAAGCCUAAAGGCGCGCGGAGGACUCCCCCCUUGAGUUCGGGGUCAAAUGACGGAGGCUAGGACGGCCCGGUGGUGCGCU
rnacentral:other from 1 species